rnacentral:snRNA from 1 species
GUGCUCGCUUUGGCAGCACAAAUACUAAAAUUGGAACAUUACAGAGAAGAUUAGCAUGGCCUCUGCGCAAGGAUGACAUGCAAAUUCGUGAAGUGUUCCAUAUUUAA